rnacentral:miRNA from 1 species
UAUUUCAGGCGGUAUACUGGUAA